rnacentral:rRNA from 1 species
CAGCAGCCGCGGUAAUGCGUAGGUGGCAAGCGUUGUCCGGAAUUAUUGGGCGUAAAGGGCUCGCAGGCGGUUUGUUAAGACAGAUGUGAAAUCCCCGGGCUCAACCUGGGAACUGCAUUUGUGACUGGCAAGCUAGAGUGUGGCAGAGGGGGGUGGAAUUCCGCGUGUAGCAGUGAAAUGCGUAGAUAUGCGGAGGAACACCGAUGGCGAAGGCAGCCCCCUGGGCCAACACUGACGCUCAUGCACGAAAGCGUGGGGAGCAAACAGGAUUAGAUACCCCCGUAGUCCCUGUCUCUUAUAC